ACACUUUGUCCUAUUUGUACAAGCCCUGCUGAGUUUCAAGUCACAACACAGCUUGUGGACGGGGCUCUGGACCUGGGCCAUGUUAUACCUCCAGCAAGAACAUCCUGAGUAGUCAGCAUGCACAAAAAUGCCAGGGGAGUUGGACCAGAUGGCCUUUACAAGUCUCUUCCAACUCGAACGAUUCUAUGAUAAGGGGGAGAGAGCCCAUCUGAGGUUGUGUCUGUCCUGAGAGCGCCAUGGCAGGCAAUCCCUGCAGCCUUCAGACCCAAACGAGCCAGCAGAUCCUGGUUUGUACACCAACGUGCACAGGAAUAGAAUGACGAUUCAUGCAGGGGAGCAGGAUAUUAGAUACAAAUAAGAAGUCUUUCUUUUGCUAAAAAUAUGAAUUCUUCCCCCUGUGAACAGACAGGCAAUAAAGGUGCCAUCUCCCCCCUGUACGCACACCCACAGGACCAAGGGUUCACCUCCUUCCACGAGACAGAGCACACAGCAGCGUGUCCCCAGAGGGCUUUCAGGAGACACGAGCAUCCUUGCAGUAGGAGUGCUGAGCCCUACCAGGGAGGGGCAGCUGCUUCCCAAACCUCCCCUCACUGCUCCACAUAGGGCUUCCUGCCCAAGCUGCACCUGCUCCUUGGAUCACCCUCAGCAAAUCAAGCUGAGUGCUGAAGGGGAAGGCUGAAUCCCCAUGGAGUCGCAUCUCACAAUAUGACUGAAAACCCCAUAUUUUAGGGCAAAAGCCUCCUCCUUCCCCUUCACAGAGCCUUCUAGUAACCUGGCUGAGCUCUAUACAUAUAUAUAUAUAUAUAUAUAUAUAUAUGUAAAGCUUAGUGCCAUCCUUGGCAACACAUAGCAGCAGAGAGCCCAGCCCAGCCCAUUUUCUCCCCAUGGAGAUCAGCCGGUGGCACUGCGGUACUUUUGAUUUUCUCUAGAAACCUGUCUCUUCAGGAUUUCUUUUCUAUUUUUUUUUUUUUUUUUUUUUUUUUUGAAGUCAAAGUCUGUUUCCCGUUUGGUAGGUGACCUGUUUAAUGUUUUCCCUGUGUCUGGGAACUCCUUAGUGUAAUUAGCGACCUUUGAACUCCACAACUAAUCCUGAGCUAUUUUGUAUUCCUUACUCAUCUUUAAGGCUGGACCUUUCUUUUCUUUUGAGUCCGCUGCCACAAUUAAAGAAGAAACAGCUGCAUUUCAAAGGGAUUCCAAUUCCAGAAGCUUAAUCGUGAUUGACAUGUUCUUAUUCUAAGCUAUAAGAAACUCUAAGAGUCCUUUCUUGGGUUAAAACUUCAAUCAUUUUCUAAAAAAUUAUCUCAAUAUGGAUUUUAUUCAUUUUCUUUGAUAACCAUUCUUUGCAGUUUUUUUUUUUUUUUAACUUGAAAGAUGCUUUGAGUUUGCAAUGAAUAUGAACUGCGCCCUGCUCUGAAAGAAUGAAUGGUGUCAGGCGCAUUCUAGAUGCAGAAGUGGCUAAAUUCCAUUUAUUGCCAACAUCUGAUGAUGAAAUCUGAUGUCCGCCGUGUAGCUUGACAUCCUCCCGUAUACCCAAAAGGUGGGAGAGGUGGAAGGGCUUGCAAACGGAAGGCAACAAGAAAGCGUGUACAAGAAAUCUACAUUUUUAACUGCUUUCUCCAAUUUUUAUAGCACAGAUUAUAAAGCCAUUGCCUUACAGCCAUGGAAGAGCACCGUCUCUCCUUUCCAGUGUGAAUGGAUCGUCCACAAAAAAAAAAAAAACAAAAAAAAAAACAUGAUAAAAUAUAAGUAAUUCAUUUGGCUUAAAAGUGUUGACGCAACUGCACAACAAGAACCGAACUUGGCUGAUGUUGGAAAACGAUGGAAGCCCAUUGGGGAUGGUUAAUUAAUGAUUAAGCCCAUCUCCCUUACGUUUUACUUCAUUGGGACCUCAGAAAGAAAGACUGGGAAAAUAAAAAGUCCUGAGAAUGUGUUUGUAUGCAUUUGUUUGUGCAGAUAUAUAGGUGAGAUGGGCACACGGCUACGCGGGCAUCGCUCACAGCCCUGCGGAUAAAGCUCUGCCCAAUGAACGUGCAGAGCCCCGCAGAAGGCAGCAGGCAGGAUGCGUUGUUUCUAAGACAAAGGUCAAAUAAAAAAGGAUGUUAAUAAACAGCCCUCCGGUUUAAGGGACUUUUUUUAAGGAUUACAUCUUAAAUUCCAACAAAUCAGAUUUAGGAGUUACUGAAAGUGAAAUUGAUCCAUCCCUCAACCAAACUUUGCAAUACUUUCCUGUUCUGACAUCAUUUAGAUAGUUAGCUGCAUUAUCAGAUUAAAAACCAUUGUACAGGGCCGCUGAAAGGCAAAGGAGCCAAAAAGCUAAACACUGGAUGAAUUCUGAACCUUUUAACCUGGCUGAAGUACGCGGGUCCCUGUUAUGCAAAUACCUUCAAUCCUCUGCUAAGUUCAGUGGAAAUAAUUUUCUUGAAUGACAGGUUUAUUCAGCACGGAUUCAGUUGGCGAUUAAUCCCCCUUUGAUCUAAGGUAUUUCACUUAACGACCAGUUACCUCGUUCUGACAAAGUGCAACUGAGAUUAGCGAGAUCACUAGAACACGACCAGGGUGUGCGCUUAUUCUCCCCAACCUUUCAAAGCGAGGGCCAAGAAUGCAAUCUAUUUUCAGUAUUUGAAGAUGUGAAGUCCUGUCUGCCGAGUUAGAAAGUCAAUUGAAUGCCAAAUAGGGUUUGUUUCUUACGUAACGGGACCGGCGGCUCCCCUUGCUCUUUAGUAAUAAGGAUUCAGGAUGCCGGCUGCAGAAAGGAGAUAUUCCCAUUCCAGCCAGCUGGAAUUUCUCCUACUUGACCCAUCCGGGGCCAUGCUUUGCAGCCGGGCUUUUCCUUGCUGGUUCAAAGCUGCUGCUAUAUUUCAGAUUAGUACACGGCGCAUGUAAACGAUCUUUCCUUUCUGAAAAUCCGAUAAGGCACAACAUUUCCCCAUUUAAUCUGUUCAAAUAUUGUUCCUCAGGAUUCGCCUUGCCUUUUUUUUUUUUUUUUUUUUUUGGCUAAAAAUCCCUUUUCUCCUUCUCCAGCUGCAGCCCUAUGAGAACGGGCGCAGUGCUACAACCUGUUCGGGAAGGAAAACGCAUCACGAGAGAUUGCAAAAAUCAUUCUCUAAAACCAAAGGUUUCAGGCCGCCCAGCAUCUGAAGCAAGAUGUGUUUUUCUUUGCUUUUCCCCUCUCCAACGCGCUGUCUUUUUGCCGAAUUAUUGCAUCACUUUGCAGGAGCUGCACCACAUUGCUCUGAGCUCCAACAGCAGUGAGGUCCCGAUCCGUGCCUGGCUGGCUCAGUGCGGCUGUGCUCAGAGCUGGGUGUCCUUCCUGCAGGUGGGAGGGUGGGACCAUUUCAUCUGUGGGCUCUUUCGUUUGGUGAAAGGGGCUGCCAGGAUUUUCACUCUGAGCCGCCUCACUUUAGGGUGGUUGGUUGUAUGUAAAUGCUGAUCAUAUGCCUGAGAGAGGGAGAAAAAAGAAUAUUUCCCGCUUUUAGGAUCUUGCCCAUCUUUAGAUAUUAAGCAGUUGCCUCAAAGUAUCCCCUUUCUAUUAAAAUCACUCUCCUAAAGCUAAGCUAUGUGUAUAUUUUAUUGCAGAGCUGAGUCUAUAUUUGGGAUUUCUACAUUCCGCAGGCAGCCUUUAAGCCAUUCACCAGGCACGCUGUGUGUGUGUUUACUCCUUUACGUUCUUAAAAAGUGAGCACCUCUUAUAAGGGGGUCCCCCCAGCCCUGACUUCAUCCCCUCCUUUUUUCCUCCCAUCCAUCUCCUGUACAUCUCCAAUCACAACGCUUUGCUCGCAGCAGCCACACAAUCCCCCCCAACUCAUCAGCGGCCCCAUCACACUUCAUUGGGUCAAUGAUACACAAACUAGGAGGGAUUUACACUUUAGACAGUAACAGCUUCUUAAGAGCCAUUGCAGUGCCGUGGGUUUAAGAAAGAAAUCCUUCCUGAGAAAUGCCAAAAUCUGGAGUAACACGAUAGUCUGUAGGGAGCAUUUAGGGUCUUUCUGGUGAAUAUAACGCUGCAUGUCCUCAUGACUCGGUGAAAAUAAGGGUGAGGAUUUUAGACCAUUGUAUGUUUUUACCACCAUGACUGUAUGAACUCCACAAAAACACCGAGUGGGAGAAAACUGAGCUUUGACGAUGACCCAAAACGUUGCCUGCCCAACAUUACAACACAACGCAACACAGUGUCUAUUAAUCAUCGACCCAAAAAGCAGGAGGCACCAUGCUGAUCUCUACACCAUUCCAUUGGGGAUGGGUAAUUGAUGACUUGAUAGAGCUAAAUACUGAGCUAAAUUAUUUAGGGAGACAGGGUUGAAUUUAUAUGGGAUGCAGAAGAUGCCUCAAUCGCAUCACUCGUGUAUAAGCAACAAGAAAAGUGUGGGGGGGUGAUAGUUCUUUGCAGUGUGUAUGUGUGUAUGUAAGGACAAUGUAUAUAAGUAUGUAUUAUUAUAAGUAUGUAUAAUAAGUAUGUAUUAUUAACUCCUGGAGGGAGUUUAUCAGUUUCACUCACUGUUUUUCCCAAGAUGAGCAAUAACAAACUUCCACCAAAUUAUAUUGCAUAUAUGAUAUAGGAUGAUAUCCUGUUAUGAUCACAUUAAAGGGUAUUUCCUAAUUAA